GAGCGCAACCCUUGUCAUUAGUUGCUACAUUCAGUUGGGCACUCUAAUGAGACUGCCGGUGACAAACCGGAGGAAAGUGGGGAUGACGUCAGGUCCUCAUGGCCCUUAUAGUGGGGCUACACACGUCAUGCAAUGGAUGGGUACAAAGGGUCGCCAACCCGCGAGGGGGAGCCAAUCCCAUAAAGCCAUUCGUAGUCCGGAUCGCAGUCUGCAACUCGACUGCGUGAAGUCGGAAUCGCUAGUAAUCGUGGAAUCAGAAUGUCACGGUGAAUACGUUCCCGGGUCUU
rnacentral:rRNA from 1 species